CCGUACAGACUCCACAGGCUUCCAUCUCAGAAAAUGUAGGUAUCAUAUCCGUAGGUUUGUUGCAGAAUAAAGGGUAUGUCAAAUGUGAGAUAUAGUU